ACUGGGUUGGCCGAGUGGUUAAGGCGUUGGACUUAAGUUCCAAUGGACAAGUGUCCCGCGUGGGUUCGAACCCCACACCCAGUA
rfam:Ciona savignyi cont_28412, whole genome shotgun sequence.